UAUGUAGGGGGCAAGCGUUGUCCGGAAUCAUUGGGCGUAAAGCGCGUGUAGGCGGCCAGAUAAGUCCGCUGUGAAAACUCGAGGCUCAACUUCGAGCUGUCGGUGGAAACUUUCUGGCUAGAGUCCGGAAGAGGAGAAUGGAAUUCCUGGUGUAGCGGUGAAAUGCGCAGAUAUCAGGAAGAACACCCGUGGCGAAGGCGGUUCUCUGGGGCGGUACUGACGCUGAGACGCGAAAGCGUGGGGAGCGAACAGG
rnacentral:rRNA from 1 species